rnacentral:lncRNA from 1 species
CUUGGGAGAGCAGUACCAUUUGCUACAGCUGGAGAUUGCUACAGCGCAGCCAGAUGUCCACAGGGCCAGUUCAGCAUUAACUUGGCUGGUACAGGUCUGAGAUUAUCCAGUACAGUGAGAUGGAUUGCUCAGGGCAACUAUGCAACUGCUGACAUACACAAAUCCCAUGAUGGUACUAAAAUAUAUGGAAGAUGUGGAGGACUUUGUGGAAAAUGUGUUCCUAACACAAUUAUUGGUCUCCAACUUCAAGUACAGUGAGAACUCUGAUGUACUAGGUGCAUCAAAGCAAGGACAUUUGCCAUUUAGGUUCAAAUUGUAGGUGCUCUGUAUGUGUAUAUUGUAAUUUUUUCAUGUCUGUAGUGCUCAUUACUGUAACAUUCACUAAUAUGAAUUCCUGUUUUCUUCAGGAUUAACUCAAGGUUGUAUUAUCUGUUUGUGGG